AGUGAACGCUGGCAGUAGGCCUAACACAUGCAAGUCGAACGGCAGCACAGUAAGAGCUUGCUCUUACGGGUGGCGAGUGGCGGACGGGUGAGGAAUACAUCGGAAUCUACUUUUUCGUGGGGGAUAACGUAGGGAAACUUACGCUAAUACCGCAUACGACCUACGGGUGAAAGCAGGGGAUCUUCGGACCUUGCGCGAUUGAAUGAGCCGAUGUCGGAUUAGCUAGUUGGCGGGGUAAGGGCCCACCAAGGCGACGAUCCGUAGCUGGUCUGAGAGGAUGAUCAGCCACACUGGAACUGAGACACGGUCCAGACUCCUACGGGAGGCAGCAGUGGGGAAUAUUGGACAAAGGGCGCAAGCCUGAUCCAGCCAUACCGCGUGGGUGAAGAAGGCCUUCGGGUUGUAAAGCCCUUUUGUUGGGAAAGAAAAGCAGCAGGUUAAUACCCCGCUGUUCUGACGGUACCCAAAGAAUAAGCACCGGCUAACUUCGUG
rnacentral:rRNA from 1 species